rnacentral:rRNA from 1 species
UACGUAGGGACCAAGCGUUGUUCGGAUUUACUGGGCGUAAAGGGCGCGUAGGCGGCGUGUCAAGUCAAUUGUGAAAUCUCCGGGCUUAACUCGGAACGGUCAAUUGAUACAGAUGUGCUAGAGUGCAGAAGGGGCAAUCGGAAUUCUUGGUGUAGCGGUGAAAUGCGUAGAUAUCAAGAGGAACACCUGAGGUGAAGACGGGUUGCUGGGCUGACACUGACGCUGAGGCGCGAAAGCUAGGGUAGCAAACGGG